rnacentral:rRNA from 1 species
GACGAACCGUCCAAACGUUAUUCGGAAUUACUGGGCUUAAAGGGUGCGUAGGCGGCGCGGAAAGUUGGGUGUGAAAUCCCUCGGCUCAGCCGAGGAACUGCGCCCAAUACUACCGUGCUUGAGGGAGAUAGAGGUGAGCGGAACUUAGGGUGGAGCGGUGAAAUGCGUUGAUAUCCUAAGGAACACCGGUGGCGAAAGCGGCUCACUGGAUCUCUUCUGACGCUGAGGCACGAAAGCUAGGGUAGCGAACGGG